rnacentral:rRNA from 1 species
GACGAACGCUGGCGGCGUGCUUAACACAUGCAAGUCGAACGGAAAGGCCCUGCUUUUGUGGGGUGCUCGAGUGGCGAACGGGUGAGUAACACGUGAGUAACCUGCCCUUGACUUUGGGAUAACUUCAGGAAACUGGGGCUAAUACCGGAUAGGAGCUCCUGCUGCAUGGUGGGGGUUGGAAAGUUUCGGCGGUUGGGGAUGGACUCGCGGCUUAUGAGCUUGUUGGUGGGGUAGUGGCUUACCAAGGCUUUGACGGGUAGCCGGCCUGAGAGGGUGACCGGCCACAUUGGGACUGAGAUACGGACCAGACUCCUACGGGAGGCAGCAGUGGGGAGUAUUGCACAAUGGGCGGAAGCCUGAUGCAGCAACGCCGCGUGCGGGAUGACGGCCUUCGGGUUGUAAACCGCUUUCGCCUGUGACGAAGCGUGAGUGACGGUAAUGGGUAAAGAAGCACCGGCUAACUACGUG